rnacentral:tRNA from 1 species
UCCCUCAUAGCUAAAUAGGUGAAGAAUCUGCCUGCAAUUCAGGAGAUCCAGGUUUGAUUCCUGGGUUGGGAA